GUGACAGAGUGGAUGGCGAUUGUGCAUGAAGUUAUCAAAGUUCAUAGUGAUCAAAUGAUCAGGUGUGAUCGAUUUAGGGGACAGUGAGUGUACUCCGAAGAGUACAUUUGCAUAGACAAAUAUUGAAGUGGAUUUCUCUUUGUUCCGCUGCUUUCAAGGAACUUCCUGGACUUCCUUUGACAUCAUCUUUGUAAUCUUUACAUAAGAUAAUAUUCCUUCUGUGUUUCACAUUACUCUCAAACCGCCUGGCCUUCCCCUAUGGCUAAUUUGCUAUGAAUGCGGCGUAAAAUGAUUGUUUUGCCCCGCCUUCCGUAAAGCAACGCUAGCAAACUAUAAUUAAUAAAUGUCGUGCACAAAUACUUACCAGAGAUUCCAAUACUGGAACAUAAACAGAUUCCAGCAUAAAUCCAUUCUUCAGGAUUUUCCACAAAUGCAAUUGGAAAAUCUGCUCUCGCUGUUGAUGAAUUCACGUGGGGAAAAUGCUUUCGUUCAAGGGGGGAAAAAACCUACGUAAGUGCGAAAUGUGACAUUUGCCAGCUGAGGAUGAUGAAGAGAGGGCCCCCAAGACAGAUAAGAGCGUUUGCUAUUCUGAGAAAUAGUUUAUUCAUACAGAAAAUAAAAUAAAUAAAAUCACAAAAUGA